rnacentral:rRNA from 1 species
GACGAACGCUGGCGGCGUGCUUAACACAUGCAAGUCGAACGGAAAGGCCCUGCUUUUGUGGGGUGCUCGAGUGGCGAACGGGUGAGUAACACGUGAGUAACCUGCCCUUGUCUUUGGGAUAACUUCAGGAAACUGGGGCUCAUACCCGAUAGGAUCUCCUGCUGCAUGGUGGUGGUUGGAAAGUUUCGGCGGUUGGGGCUGGACUCGCGGCUUAUCAGCUUGUUGGUGGGGUAGUGGCUUACCAAGGCUUUGACGGGUAGCCGGCCUGAGAGGGUGAACGGCCACAAUGGGACUAAGAUACGGCCCAGAAGCCUACGGGAGGCAGCAGUGGGGAAUAUUGCACAAUGGGCGGAAGCCUGAGGCAGCAACGCUGCGUGCGGGAUGACGGCCUUCGGGUUGUAAACCGCUUUCGCAUGUGACGAAGCGUGAGUGACGGUAAUGAGUAAAGAAGCACCGGCUAACUACGUG